UGUGUCCACUGUAAACAACAACGUUCGGAUAACUGCAAAAAAGAGGGGAGAGAAAGAGGGGAGAGAAAGAGGGGAGAGAAAGAGAGGGGAGCGAGAGAGAGAAAGAGAAAGGGAGGGGAGAGAGAGAGAGAAAGAGGGGAGAGAAAGAGUGGAGAGAAAGAGAGAGAGAGAACGAAGAGAGAGAAAGAGGAGACAGAAAGAGGGGAGAGAGAAAGAGAGAGAGAGAGAAAGAGAAAGAGAGGGGAGAGAGAGAGAGAAAGAGGGGAGAGAAAGAGGGGAGAGAAAGAGGGAAGAGAAAGAGAGAAAGAGAAGAGAGAAGGGGAACGAGAGAGAGAGAGAGAGAGAGAGAAAGAGGGGAGAGAAAGAAAGAGAGAGAGAAAGAGGGGAGAGAAAGAAAGAGAGAGAGAAAGAGGGGAGAGAAAGAAAGAGAGAGAGAGAAAGAGGGGAGAGAAAGAAAGAGAGAGAAAGAGGGGAGAGAAAGAAAGAGGGGAGAGAAAGAAAGAGAGAAAAAGAGGGGAGAGAAAGAAAGAGAGAGGGAGCGAGAAAGAGGGGAGAGAAAGAGGGGAGAGAGAGAGAAAAAGAGGGGAGAGAAAGAGGGGAGAAAAAGAGGAGAGAGAGAGAGAAAAAGAGGGGAGAGAGGGGAGAGAAAGAGGGGAGAGAAAGAGGGAAGAGAACGAGAGAGAAAGAGAAGAGGGAAUAGAAAGAGAGAGAGAAAGAGGAGAGAGAAAGAGGGGAGAGAAAGAAAGAGAGAAAGAGGGGAGAGAAAGAAAGAGAGAGAGAGAGAGAAAGAGGGGAGAGAAAGAGGGGAGAGAAAGAGGAGAGAGAAAGAGGAGAGAGAAAGAGGGAAGAGAAAGAGAGAGAGAAAGAGGGAAGAGAAAGAGAGAGAGAAAGAGGAGAGAGAAAGAGAGAAGAGAAAGGAGAGAGGAGAGAGAGAGAGAGAAAGAGAAGAGGGAAGAGAAAGAGAGAGAGAAAGAGGAGAGAGAAAGAGGGGAGAGAAAGAAAGAGGGAGAAAGAGGGGAGAGAGAGAGGAGAGAGAAAGAGAGAGAGAGAGAAAGAGGGGAGAGAGAGGAGAGAGAGAGAGAAAGAGAGAGAGAGAGAGGGGAGAGAAAGAAAGAGAGAGGGAGCGAGAAAGAGGGGAGAAAAAGAGGAGAGAGAGAGAGAAAAAGAGGGGAGAGAGGGGAGAGAAAGAGGGAAGAGAACGAGAGAGAAAGAGAAGAGGGAAGAGAAAGAGAGAGAGAAAGAGGAGAGAGAAAGAGGGGAGAGAAAGAAAGAGAGAGAGAGAGAGAAAGAGGGGAGAGAAAGAGGGGAGAGAAAGAGGAGAGAGAAAGAGGAGAGAGAAAGAGGGAAGAGAAAGAGAGAGAGAAAGAGGGAAGAGAAAGAGAGAGAGAAAGAGGAGAGAGAAAGAGAGAGAGAAAGAGGGAAGAGAAAGAGAGAGAGAAAGAGGAGAGAGAAAGAGAGAAGAGAAAGAGGAGAGAGAGAGAGAGAAAGAGAAGAGGGAAGAGAAAGAGAGAGAGAAAGAGGAGAGAGAAAGAGGGGAGAGAAAGAAAGAGGGAGAAAGAGGGGAGAGAGAGAAAGAGAGAGAGAGAGAAAGAGGGGAGAGAGAGGAGAGAGAGAGAGAAAGAGAGGGAGAGGGGAGAGAGAGAGGAGAGAGAAAGAGAGAGAGAGAGAAAGAGGGGAGAGAGAGGAGAGAGAGAGAGAAAGAGAGGGAGAGGGGAGAGAGAUAUUCCCUUUUGUACUUCAACGACUUACACAUUGUCACAACACACAGCCAAUAACAUAACAUUUUGA
rnacentral:lncRNA from 1 species